ACCUAAGUUAAAUGAAACUCUAAGUAGUAGUUUUCCAAAUUACCAGAAGCCAAUGGCUGAAAGCCACAUUCACAGAUACAACUCUUAUGAAAUGCUAUAUGAGAUUCAAGUUAGUGGCCUAACCAAUCCACAGAAGGCAAAUGGGAGAUCAUUAGAAAAUAGGUAGCUUAGGCUAGGUGCUAUUGCUCGUGCCUAUAAUAUCCCAGCACUUUGGGAGGCUGAGGCAGGUGGAUCACCUGAGGUUGGGAGUUCAAGACCUGCCUGACCAAUAUUGAGAAACCCUGUCUCUAUAAAAAUACAAACUUAGCUGGGCGUGGUGGCAUAUGCCUGUAAUCCCAGCUACUCGGGAGGCUGAGGCAGGAUAAUCGCUUGAACCCGGGAGGCGGAGGUUGCACUGAGCCAAGAUCACGCCAUUGCACAAUCCAGCCUGGGGAACAAGAGCGAAACUCUGCCAAAAAGAAAAAAAAAAAAGAAAGAAAGAAUAUAGGUAGCUUGAAUAAUCAAGUUCAAUUACUUUUCUAUCACAUCCAUAAUGUAGUACCAGACCACAGGAAAGACUAAAACUCGUUAAUAUUUAAAUGAUAAAUUAAUAAUCUAUUAAGAUUUCUUUUAUAUGGGAACAAAUUUUUGACCACGAUUAAACUACUGGACGAAAGUAUCUUGCUCCAAAAUCUGGGUGUUAAGAACUUAGACAAUGAUAGCAAGACUCUAGUUCUUUAUGUUUUUUUGAGACAGAGUCUGGCUCUGUCACCCAGGCUGGAGUGCAGUGGUGUAGUUUCGUCUCACUGCAACCUCUGCCUCCCUGAUUCUGCUGCCUCAGCCUCCUGAGUAGCUGGGAGUACAAGCACAUGGCACCACAUCCAGCUAAUUUUUAUAUUUUCAGUAGAGACAGGGUUUCACCCCGUUGGCCAGGCUGGUCUUGAACUCCCAAACUCAAGUGAUCCACCCACCUUGGCCAAGAAGACUCUAGAUCUUAUACCCUUGUCUCUGUGUAUAAUAUAAAUUUGGCAGGUGGUUCAUGGGGCAAAGCAUGUAACACUGAACAAAUAAACUCUUAAGGCAGUCUGAUUUUUUUCCAUGAUUCAAGUUGUGGGAAUUAUUUCAAGAGAAACCUAAGUGUUUCAAGUAAGUUAAAAUUUCUAAAAAUCAUUGUUUAUCCUCAAUAUUUUAGAUAUACAAAAGAUACAGAGAUUAUAAAGAAAGCCUAUGUAUAUAAUCACAUGGCUUAAGUAAUGAUACCUUAACAAAAAGCUAAAACCUCCUCAUGACAUGACCAGCUGCACCCUGUCCUCUAAAUAACCACUAGAAGGUGACUUUAUCAUGCCCACACUUGACUUUAUACUUUUACUAUAAAUGCAUAUAGUACCUACAGACAGAGGGUAUUGUUUAACAAGAUCUAAAUUUUCUAUGAGGGCUUUAAGCUGACAGUUUAUAUGGGCUCCUAGACAUAUUUUACAUCUGUAUUAUGGCCCCUCCAUUUUACUAAGAUAAAACUGGGGCUCAGACAAAGUGGCUCACUUAAGAUAUUAAUAAAAGAAAACAAGGCCAGGCAUGGUGUCUCAUGCCUGUAAUCCCAACACUUUGGGAGGCCAAGGUGGGUGGAUCACCUGAGGUCAGGAGUUCGAGACCAGCCUGGCCAACAUUGGUGAAACCCAGCCUCUACUAAAAAUACAAAAAUUAGCUGGGCAUGUUGGCACACGCCUGUAAUCCCAGCCACUCGGGAGGCUGAGGCAGAAGAAUCUCUUGAACCUGGAAGGUGGAAGUCACAGUGAGCUGAGAUCGCCCCACUGCACUUCAGCCUGGGUGACAGAGCAAGAGUCUCAAAAAACAACAACAACAAAAAACAACACAGAAAAACAAAGAACAAAAAAAGGAAUACAACUGGACACGAAGGUUCAUGCUAUAAUUCCAGCAAUUUGGGAGGCCAAGGGAAGUGGAUAACUUGAACUUGGGAGUUCAAGACCAGCCUGGGCAAUGUGGAGAAACCCAAUCUCUAUAAAAAACAUCAAAAUUAGCCAGGCAUAUGGCAUGCACCUGUAGUCCCAGCUACUGGGGAGGAUGAGGUAGAAGGAUCACUUGAGCUCAGAAGGCUUAGGCUGCAGUUAGCCAUGAUUAUGCCACUGCACUUCUAGCCUGGGUGACAGGGUGAGAUCCUGUCUCAAGAAGGAAAAAAAGAAAAUGUAAAUGGUGGGCAAACAGUGAAGACCCAUGUAUGUCAGAGAAAUGGAGAGAGGACUAUCUUCCAGGCCAUGGGAAAUGAGAAAGGUCUAAAAGGAGGAGAAUAAGGUUAUUAAAGCUUACGCCGGAAAGACAACUGACAACGGGGCCAAUAUGAAGAAUGGAGCAAGGCAGGGAACUCUGUUAGGAGGCAAUGGCCAGUAAUGAGGGUGCAGCAAUAGGUCUCAACAAAGGUAGCAGCAGUGACUUGAGACAAGAGGGCAGAUCUUAAGAGAGAAUGGGGGUAAGAGCAAGAAAAGAGCAAGAGAAAAAAUCAGCUGUGCAGCUACUGGUGGAGAGGUAAGGAACAGUGUGAGAAGAAAAGGUCAAGGAUAGGGGCUGGGCAUGGUUGCUCACGCCUGUAAUCCCAGCACUUUGGGAGGCUGAGGCGGGUGGAUCACCAGGUCAAGAGUUAGAGACCAGCCUGGCCAACAUGGUGAAACCUCAUCUCUACUAAAAAUACAAAAAUUAGCCGGGCGUGGUGGCUCACACCUUUACUCCCAGCUACUCAGGAGGCUGAGGCAGGAAAAUCACUUGAACCUGGAAGGUGGAGGUUGCAGUGAGCCAGGACUGUGCCACUGAACUCCAGCCUGGGUAAAAGAGCAAAAAAAAAAAAAAACUCUGUCUCAAAAUAAAUAAAUAAAUAGGGCCAAGGAGAACACAAGGCCCACAUCUGAGCCUCCAUUUGUCUAACUUGUAAUUUUACCUAUACCACAUAGAAAUCUAAGAAUUAAACGAUACUUGUACGAGCACUAAGCUCACUACUGGAAUAGAGUAAAUGCUUACUAAAUGUUAGCUAUUAUUUUUAGGCUUCUUGCUUGAGGAAAUAGCUUUUAAGAAUGCAGUUUUUUAAAAACUUAUUUUAUUAUUUUUUAGAUGAGGUCUCACUAUGUUGCCCUGGCUGAAGUGCAGUGGUAUGACCUUGACUCACUGCAGCCUUGUCCUCCUAGGCGCAAGCAUUCCUCAGCCUCCUAAGACGCUGGGCCUACAGACGGAGUUUUGCUGUUGCCCAGACUGGAGUACAGUGGUGAGAUCUCUGCUGACUGCAACCUCCACCUACUGGAACUUCUGAGAUGUCACCACCAAUCAAGAACUAAUUCAGAAGAGCAGAAGGGACUAAGGAAAGUUCCAGAACUGGCCUGAGAGCAGUCACUAGAUGAUUAAGAAAAAGCAAGCAGCUUUGUUGUAAAAAAAGAUCGGUUUCAUGGUUUUUAUAAUCAUAAAUUUCUCCAACAUGUUCUGACUGUCACCUGAUUUUUAAUUGUUUAACUCAAGGUUGUGUUCUCACUUGGUAUCUGAUUUUCUUUUAAAAUUCAACUCUCAGAAAAUAAAGGUAACCAAGUUUGCUAUCAAUGUUAACACACAGCCUUGUGGACACAAU